rnacentral:rRNA from 1 species
GAUGAACGCUGGCGGCGUGCCUAACGCAUGCAAGUCGAGCGAUUCUCUUCGGAGAAGAGCGGCGGACGGGUGAGUAACGCGUGGGUAACCUGCCCUGUACACACGGAUAACAUACCGAAAGGUAUGCUAAUACGAGAUAAUAUGCUUUUAUCGCAUGAUAGAAGUAUCAAAGCUUUUGCGGUACAGGAUGGACCCGCGUCUGAUUAGCUAGUUGGUAAGGUAACGGCUUACCAAGGCGACGAUCAGUAGCCGACCUGAGAGGGUGAUCGGCCACAUUGGAACUGCGACACGGUCCAAACUCCUACGGGAGGCAGCAGUGGGGAAUAUUGCACAAUGGGCGAAAGCCUGAUGCAGCAACGCCGCGUGAGCGAUGAAGGCCUUCGGGUCGUAAAGCUCUGUCCUCAAGGAAGAUAAUGACGGUACUUGAGGAGGAAGCCCCGGCUAACUACGUGCCAGCAGCCGCCGUAA